UACGGAGGGUGCAAGCGUUAUCCGGAUUCACUGGGUUUAAAGGGUGCGUAGGUGGGUCUGUAAGUCCGUGGUGGAAUCUCCGAGCUUAACUUGGAAACUGCCAUGGAUACUAUAGGUCUUGAAUACUGUGGAGGUCAGCGGAAUAUGUCAUGUAGCGGUGAAAUGCUUAGAUAUGACAUAGAACACCAAUUGCGAAGGCAGCUGGCUACACAAAUAUUGACACUGAGGCACGAAAGCGUGGGGAUCAAACAGG
rnacentral:rRNA from 1 species